UACAGUUUGUACUGUGUAGUGUUC
rnacentral:piRNA from 1 species